UACGUAGGGUGCGAGCGUUGUCCGGAAUUAUUGGGCGUAAAUGGCUCGUAGGCGGUUUGUCGCGUCGGGAGUGAAAACCUUGGGCUUAACUCAGGGCUUGCUUUCGAUACGGGCAGACUAGAGGUAUGCAGGGGAGAACGGAAUUCCUGGUGUAGCGGUGAAAUGCGCAGAUAUCAGGAGGAACACCGAUGGCGAAGGCAGGUCUCUGGGCCACUACUGACGCUGAGAAGCGAAAGCAUGGGGAGCGAGCAGG
rnacentral:rRNA from 1 species